rnacentral:lncRNA from 1 species
ACACGAAAAAGUCCCCAAAUAUAAAUAUAGAGUAUUGGGUUGGGCUUCGAAGUAAAAUUCGGCCCAUUCGUUUUGCCCAAUAAAACGGCUUCACUCGUCCAUUUUAUUGAUGUUUUUGAAAGAAGAAAAAAAUGGACCUUUACACAAAUAGCCGAUUAUAUUUACUAUUUAUUUUCUCUGGUCAUAUACAUAGAUUAUAUAUUAUUUGUGUACAAUUAUACGUAUAUAAUACAUAAAUUAUGCAUAUAUAAUACAUCCACCAGUUAUUUUUUACUUUAAGUGGUUGGAUAGGAUGCUAUGCAAAUUAAUAAAGUAAGUCAUUAAAUCAUUCCAUUUUAAUUAACAUUCAUAUUUUAACUUAACGCAUCUCUAAAUGGACAUUUUAGAAAAUUUAAAUUCGAGAAUUUGCUAUAAUUAAGUUAAUUUAAAUGAACUGUUAAUUUAGGACUCUCUGUUAAUAUAGCCACAUCAUUUUUUGGAAAAAAAAAUGGCGUAAAAGAGAGAUGACUUUGUGUUAAAAAGGAUGAUUUUUGUGUUAUAAGGCUUAACUUAAAUGAUCAUCCGUGAAAUUUAUCAGCACGUCCUUUCUGUUUUGUUUUUUGCUCGGUGUCGUAUACCUGUAUCGGGAUGCGACAUGCGACAACCCAAAGGGUCUAUCACCGUAAUUCUUCCGUUUUUCGUACUUUCGAAGUCUUGAAAAUCUCGCUUUUAGUUACCUCCAUUUGCGUGUGCAGUCCGAGCGCGUAGCUGGAAAGCUUUUAUGUUGAAAU